UCCUUGGUGGUCUGAUGGUUAAGACUCUGCACCCCCAAUGCAGGGGGCCCAGGUUCAAUCCCUCAUCAGGGAA
rnacentral:tRNA from 1 species